CCCUUGAAAAACAUUCCUUUCUUUCUCUCUUUCUUUUUUUAAGAUUUAUUUUAUGUAUAUGAAUACACUGUAGCUGUACAGAUGGUUGUGAGCCACCAUGUGGUUGCUGGAAAUUGAACUCAGGACCUCUGCUUGCUCUGCCCCAAAGAUUUAUUUAUUAUAUGUAAGAACACUAUAGCUGUCUUCAAAGGCACCAGAAGAGGGCGUCAAAGCUCAUUACGGAUGGUUGUGAGCCACCAUGUGGUUGCUGGGAUGAGGACCUUUGGAAAGGCAGUCAGUGCUUACCCACCGAGCCAUCUCACCAGCCCUGAAAAACAUUUCCUAUUAAUUGUAUAUUGUGGGGUGAACGUGUGGAGGGCAAAGGACAACUUGCGAAAUCCAGCUAUCUCCUUCCACCACCUUCUUUCUCAGAUUUUUCUCGAAGGUGUGUAUUCAAUCCAAUGAGACGUGAACGCAGGGAGAGCGGGACAACUGUAUGCAGCUCUGACCUGGACGCAGACAAACUCGGAGCAGGAAAAACAGCGUGGGCUGAGCAGAAUUACCACUUGCAAUCCUGAAUCUUACCUAGAAGAAGGCAGAAACUUCCAGAGCGGUACCGCGUGGAAGCCUGGCAUCAGACUGCCCACUGUAGGAAACCUCCCAGCUCCAUCCAGUGCCUACAGGAGCUGGGACACAGGUACCGGCGGAUAAGCCUCCUCCCCCACUCGCCACCAGGGUUGAGCCUAUGUAUGGUCCCUUACUCUGACAAAGCUUCUCCGUGCUUCAGGGACUUGACCCAUCCCGGGCUGAGUCGCCCUCCCCUUCCCAGGCCGGAUGUUUGUGCCCGCCUCUCCACAGCUGUUUAUUAAAUCCUAAUUCCUCUUGUAGACCUGAAAGGGGUAGAGCCA
rnacentral:lncRNA from 1 species